UCGAGGUUUUAAGUGAUGAGAUACCAAAUGCAACAUAGAGUCAAGCUCAGAGUUUCAAAAGAAAACAGAGACGAGAAUUGCUAAUAGUUUCUGAUUGAUCUUGA
rnacentral:snoRNA from 1 species